rnacentral:sRNA from 1 species
AAGAACAUGACAGACAUCCUCUGCCCUUCAGCCUGUGCCCCAGAAUGAGAGACCCAUGGGACAGACUCAAGCUGUACCCUGAAGCAGAGCUGCCCAGUUGACUGCAGACCUAGGAGGCUGGAGAAAAAAGAAUCCGUUAAAGGAUAACAGGAAGAAUAGCCCGAGAGGAAGAGGGAAAACCAGGAGAGAGUGGAGCCCUGAAGCUGUGUGAGGAGAGGGUUUCAGGAGCAUGGGAACCUCUGAUGCUCAGACGGGUGUGCUGCGCCAUUCUGCACCAUGUCCCUGGGCGUGGUGGUGUGCACCUGUAAUCCCAGCUACCCAGGAGGCUGAGGCAAGAGAAUCACUAGAACUCGUGAGACAGAGGCUGCAGUGAGCUGAGAUCGUGCCACUGCACUCCAAACGGAGCGACACAGCAAGACUCUGUCUCAAAAAAAAAAUAUUGCAGUAAAAUAU